rnacentral:rRNA from 1 species
AUUAAAGUAACAAAGGGCACACAAGGGAUGCCUAGGUAGAAAGAGCCGAAGAAGGACGUGGUAAGCUGCGAUAAGCUUGGCGAAGUUGCAAACGAACGUGGAUGCCAAGAUUUCCGAAUGGAGCAAUCUGUAAAGAGUCAUGUCUUUACACGAAAGAGGGAACCGGGUGAACUGAAACAUCUAAGUAAUCCGAGGAAAAGAAAGUAACAACGAUACCCUAAGUAGCGGCGAGCGAACGGGGUAGAGCCUAAACCGUAUUCAUGUCAAGGAUGCAGCCGUUGUGGAUACGGGGUAGCGGGAAAGAGAGAGAAAGAACUGCAAGCUAUUUCGCAGACGUAAGCAAAGGAACAAGAAAGAUCUGGAAAGGUCUACCGUAGAAGGUGAAAGUCCUGUAUUGGUAGUUUUCUUGCGCUGUAUCUCUUCUCCCAAGUAAUGUGGAACACGAGGAAUUCUGCAUGAAUCUGCGAGGACCAAAUCUCGUAAGGCUAAAUACUCUUUCUAACCGAUAGCGCAUAGUACCGUGAGGGAAAGGUGAAAAGAACCCCGGGAGGGGAGUGAAAGAGAACCUGAAAUUGUGUGCUUACAAGCGGUCAGAGCCACUUCGGUGGUGAUGGCGUGCCUUUUGGAGAAUGAUCCUGCGAGUUACGUUUCAUGGCGAGGUUAAGAAGAACGGAGCCGAAGGGAAACCGAGUCUGAAUAGGGCGCAAGAGUCGUGGAGCGUAGACGCGAAACCCGGUGAUCUAAGCCUGUCCAGGAUGAAGCUGUGGUAAGACACAGUGGAGGUCCUAACCCACCGCCGUUGAAAAGUUGGGGGAUGAGGUAGGUUUAGGGGUGAAAAGCCAAUCGAACCGGGAUAUAGCUCGUUCUCUCCGAAAUGCAUCUAGGUGCAGCCUUGCGUGUUUAAUGAUGGGGGUAGAGCACUGACUGAACUAGGGGGCAUAUAGCUUACUGAAUUCAAUCAAACUCCGAAUACCAUUAUUCAAGAGCGCAGGAGUGAGACCAUGGGAGUUAACUUCCAUCGUCGAAAGGGAAACAACCCAGACCACCGGCUAAGGUCCCAAAUCAUAUCUAAGUGGGAAAGGAGGUGGAGAUUCUUAAACAACUAGGAGGUUGGCUUAGAAGCAGCCAUUCCUUGAAAGAGUGCGUAAUAGCUCACUAGUCGAGAGUCUCUGCGCCGACAAUGUAACGGGGCUAAGAUAUGAACCGAAGCUGUGGAUGUCGUAAGACAUGGUAGGAGAGCGUUCUGUAGGCCGUCGAAGGAGGACUGAAAGGAACUCUGGAGGUAUCAGAAGUGAGAAUGCAGGAAUAAGUAGCGAGAAGGGGAGUGAGAAUCUCCCCCGCUGGAAGACCAAGGUUUUCAGGGUAAAGCUUGUCUUCCCUGAGUAAGCCGGGACCUAAGCCCAGGCUAGAAUGCGUAGGCGAAUGGAAAACAGAUGAAUAUUUCUGUGCCAGUUCUACUUUGUGAAGGAGGGACGCAGAAGGGUAUGCGCGCAGACGAACGGAAGAGUCUGUAGAAGCAUGUAGAGUGACUUGGUAGGCAAAUCCGCCAGGUUAGACUUAAGGUGUGACAUAUACUCGCAAGAGGAAUGCGCAAAUCCCACGCUGCCGAGAAAAGCUUCUAGCGGUAAAGUAGAGACUGCCCGUACUGGAAACCGACACAGGUGGUCAGGAUGAGAAAUCUAAAGCGGACAGGCUAACUCUCGUUAAGGAACUCUGCAAAAUGGCCCCGUAACUUCGGGAGAAGGGGUGCCUUUAGGCGUGAGUAUACAAGCGAUACAAAGCGCUUUGAGGUCGCAGUGAAGAGGCUCAAGCAACUGUUUAACAAAAACACAGGUCUAUGCGAAGCUGUAAGGCGAAGUAUAUGGGCUGACACCUGCCCAGUGCCGGAAGGUUAAGAGGAGGAGUGAGAGCUCCGAAUUGAAGCCCCGGUGAACGGCGGCCGUAACUAUAACGGUCCUAAGGUAGCGAAAUUCCUUGUCGGGUAAGUUCCGACCUGCACGAAUGGUGUAAUGAUUUGAGCGCUGUCUUGACGGGAGGCCUGGUGAAAUUGUAUUACCGGUGAAGAUACCGGUUACCUACAGUAGGACGGAAAGACCCCAUGGAGCUUUACUGUAGCUUGGUAUUGGGUUUUGGCAUGGCAUGUAUAGGAUAGUUGGGAGACUGGGAAGGAAUGGCGCUAGCUGUACCGGAGUCAUCGGUGGAAUACCAACCAUUCCCUGCUGAAAUUCUAAUCUGUACUUUGGAGGUA